rnacentral:rRNA from 1 species
UGGGUGAGUAACGCGUAGGAACCUGUCGCAUAGUGGGGGAUAACGCUGGGAAACCGGCGCUAAUACCGCAUGAGGUCAGAGAUGAAGAAAGCGAGUAAUCGCGCUAUGUGAGGGGCCUGCGUCCGAUUAGCUAGUUGGUGGGGUAAAGGCCUACCAAGGCGACGAUCGGUAGCUGGUCUGAGAGGAUGGUCAGCCACACUGGGACUGAGACACGGCCCAG